rnacentral:lncRNA from 10 species
CUAUGAUUUCUUUCAUACAAAUGAUUUCCGCAUUUGUGAUUUAAUCUUUCAUUUGGCGUCAUUUUGGGGUCGAUUUAUUGCAGGUGUUUGAAAUCAGAAAACAAGUGAGGCUUAAUCAAGAUAGGAGUUUAUUUCUCUCUCCCAAAAGAAGUCUGGAAGCAGGCAGGCCCGGGCUGUGACUGGGCCUUCGUGAACUAAGUCCUAAAGAUCUAGACUGGUAGCCCUCUGGCCUCCUCAGAAGAAAGAGAGACGGAGGACAGGCUUCUCCCUGGGAAAAACUGCCCGGAAACCCCUCACAGCACUUCUUGGAUUCCUUUGGACAGAACUUGAUCAACAUGGCAACAGCUGAAUGAAAGGGAAUUUGGAAAGUGUCAUUUUAAGUCUGGCUGGCUCUGUGCCUUCCUCAUUUCAGAGUCCCGUCCCUGACGAAGCAGGAGACACAACCAGCAGACUCUGCCACAGUCUUCGCGUAUAUACCCCAUGUGACGCCUGUAUCCUCAGUCCUUGGAAAGCUAACUGGAAAAAAAGUACAAAAGAAAAGCAGAAAAACCCACAUCUAGAAGAGGACAAUAGCAGAAGCGUGUGGGAGGCAGCGAUGUGGGGCUCAAGAGGCGACAGGUUGACUACGGUGAGAAAUACUGGAAGAGGAGGUAUCGGAUGGUUUAAAAGGAAUAGAAAAUGACGAAGAGUCCAAGACGAAUUUCACUUGAUUGUUGAACACCGAGCGCUCCUGAGGGCUUGCACAUCUGGACGCUGAGUUAAAGGACUC